rnacentral:rRNA from 1 species
CUACGGGUCGCUGCAGUGGAGAAUAUUGCACAAUGGGCGCAAGCCUGAUGCAGCCAUGCCGCGUGUAUGAAGAAGGCCUUCGGGUUGUAAAGUACUUUCAGCGGGGAGGAAGGGAGUAAAGUUAAUACCUUUGCUCAUUGAUGUUACCCGCAGAAGAAGCACCGGCUAACUCCGUGCCAGCAGCCGCGGUAAUACGGAGGGUGCAAGCGUUAAUCGGAAUUACAGGGCGUAAAGCGCACGCAGGCGGGUUGUUAAGUCAGAUGUGAAAUCCCCGGGCUCAACCUGGGAACUGCAUCUGAUACUGGCAAGCUUGAGUCUCGUAGAGGGGGGUAGAAUUCCAGGUGUAGCGGUGAAAUGCGUAGAGAUCUGGAGGAAUACCGGUGGCGAAGGCGGCCCCCUGGACGAAGACUGACGCUCAGGUGCGAAAGCGUGGGGAGCAAACAGGAUUAGAUACCCGUGUAGUC